AGAGUUUGAUCCUGGCUUAGGAUGAACGCUAGCGGCAGGCUUAACACAUGCAAGUCGAGGGGCAGCGGGAUGUAGCAAUACAUUGCCGGCGACCGGCGGAUGGGUGCGUAACGCGUAUGCAACCUACCUUAUACAGGGGAAUAACCUUUCGAAAGGGAGACUAACACCCCAUAGUAUUGAUUUAAGGCAUCUUAGAUUAAUUAAAUAUUUAUAGGUAUAAGAUGGGCAUGCGUAUGAUUAGCUAGUUGGUAAGGUAACGGCUUACCAAGGCGACGAUCAUUAGGGGUUCUGAGAGGAAGGUCCCCCACACUGGUACUGAGACACGGACCAGACUCCUACGGGAGGCAGCAGUGAGGAAUAUUGGUCAAUGGGCGCAAGCCUGAACCAGCCAUGCCGCGUGCAAGGAAGACGGCCUUAUGGGUUGUAAACUGCUUUUACAUAAGACUAACCGUAUAUUUGCGAAUAUACCUGAAUGUAUUAUGAGAAUAAGGAUCGGCUAACUCCGUGCCAGCCGCGGC
rnacentral:rRNA from 1 species